rnacentral:rRNA from 1 species
GAUGAACGCUGGCGGCGUGCCUAAUACAUGCAAGUCGAGCGAACAGAUAAGGAGCUUGCUCCUUUGACGUUAGCGGCGGACGGGUGAGUAACACGUGGGUAACCUACCUAUAAGACUGGGAUAACUUCGGGAAACCGGAGCUAAUACCGGAUAAUAUUUCGAACCGCAUGGUUCGAUAGUGAAAGAUGGUUUUGCUAUCACUUAUAGAUGGACCCGCGCCGUAUUAGCUAGUUGGUAAGGUAACGGCUUACCAAGGCGACGAUACGUAGCCGACCUGAGAGGGGGACCGGCCAAACUGGAACGGGGCAACGGCCCAAACCCCAACGGGGGGCAGAAGUGGGGAAGCUUCCGCAAUGGGGGAAAGCCUGACGGGGCAACGCCGGGUGAGGGAUGAAGGUCUUGGGAUGGAAAAACUUUUUUUUUAGGGAAAAACAAACGUGGGAGAAACUGGGCACGUCUUGACGGUACCUAAGAAGAAAGCCACGGCUAACUACGG